rnacentral:rRNA from 1 species
CCCUUAGAUGUUCUGGGCCGCACGCGUGCUACACUGAGUGGAUCAGCGGGUCAGGUUGCGCGAAAGUGUUUCCUAAUCUUGAAAUCCGCUCGUGAUGGGGAUUGACGGUUGCAAUUUUCCGUCAUGAACGAGGAAUACCUUGUAAGCGCGGGUCAUCAUCCCGCGCUGAAUACGUCCCUGCCCUUUGUACACACCGCCCGUCGCUCCUACCAAUUGAGUGGUCCGGUGAGGCUUUGGGAUCUGAGCGGAAAGAGCGUUUCGCUGUUUCUGCUCGGAAAACUCAGUCGAACCUUAUCAUUUAGAGGAAGGAGAAGUCGUAACA